rnacentral:rRNA from 1 species
AGAGUUUGAUCCUGGCUCAGAGUGAACGCUGGCGGUAGGCCUAACACAUGCAAGUCGAACGGCAGCACAGGAGAGCUUGCUCUCUGGGUGGCGAGUGGCGGACGGGUGGGGAAUACAUCGGAAUCUACCUUUUCGUGGGGGAUAACGUAGGGAAACUUACGCUAAUACCGCAUACGACCUUCGGGUGAAAGCAGGGGACCUUCGGGCCUUGCGCGGAUAGAUGAGCCGAUGUCGGAUUAGCUAGUUGGCGGGGUAAAGGCCCACCAAGGCGACGAUCCGUAGCUGGUCUGAGAGGAUGAUCAGCCACAUUGGAACUGAGACACGGUCCAGACUCCUACGGGAGGCAGCAGUGGGGAAUAUUGGACAAUGGGCGCAAGCCUGAUCCAGCCAUACCGCGUGGGUGAAGAAGGCCUUCGGGUUGUAAAGCCCUUUUGUUGGGAAAGAAAAGCAGCCAGUUAAUACCUGGUUGUUCUGACGGUACCCAAAGAAUAAGCACCGGCUAACUUCGUGCCAGCAGCCGCGGUAAUACGAAGGGUGCAAGCGUUACUCGGAAUUACUGGGCGUAAAGCGUGCGUAGGUGGUUGUUUAAGUCUGUUGUGAAAGCCCUGGGCUCAACCUGGGAAUUGCAGUGGAUACUGGGCGACUAGAGUGUGGUAGAGGGUAGUGGAAUUCCUGGUGUAGCAGUGAAAUGCGUAGAGAUCAGGAGGAACAUCCAUGGCGAAGGCAGCUACCUGGACCAACACUGACACUGAGGCACGAAAGCGUGGGGAGCAAACAGGAUUAGAUACCCUGGUAGUCCACGCCCUAAACGAUGCGAACUGGAUGUUGGGUGCAAUUUGGCACGCAGUAUCGAAGCUAACGCGUUAAGUUCGCCGCCUGGGGGAGUACGGUCGCAAGACUGAAACUCAAAGGAAUUGACGG